GAUGAACGCUGGCGGCGUGCCUAAUACAUGCAAGUCGAGCGAACAGACGAGGAGCUUGCUCCUCUGACGUUAGCGGCGGACGGGUGAGUAACACGUGGAUAACCUACCUAUAAGACUGGGAUAACUUCGGGAAACCGGAGCUAAUACCGGAUAAUAUAUUGAACCGCAUGGUUCAAUAGUGAAAGACGGUUUUGCUGUCACUUAUAGAUGGAUCCGCGCCGCAUUAGCUAGUUGGUAAGGUAACGGCGUACCAAGGCAACGAUGCGUAGCCGACCUGAGAGGGUGAUCGGCCACACUGGAACGGAGACACGGUCCAGACGCCUACGGGAGGCAGCAGUAGGGAAUCUUCCGCAAUGGGCGAAAGCCUGACGGAGCAACGCCGCGUGAGUGAUGAAGGUCUUCGGAUCGUAAAACUCUGUUAUUAGGGAAGAACAAAUGUGUAAGUAACUAUGCACGUCUUGACGGUACCUAAUCAGAAAGCCACGGCUAACUACGUG
rnacentral:rRNA from 1 species